rnacentral:misc_RNA from 1 species
GAUGAAGAACGUAGCGAAAUGCGAUAAGUAAUGUGAAUUGCAGAAUUCAGUGAAUCAUCGAAUCUUUGAACGCACAUUGCGCCCCCCAGUAUUCUGGCGGGCAUGCCUGUUCGAGCGUCAUUUCAACCAUCAAGCCCUGCUUGUGUUGGGGUCCUGCGGCUGCCCGCAGGCCCUGAAAACCAGUGGCGGGCUCGCUAGUCACACCGAGCGCAGUAGCACAUCUCGCUCAGGGCGUGCGGCGGGCUCCAGCCGUUAAAGCACCCACCUUUCGCAAGGUUGACCUCGGAUCAGGUAGGAUUACCCGCUGAACUUAAGCAUAUCAAUAAGCGGAGGA